rnacentral:rRNA from 1 species
AGAGUUUGAUUAUGGCUCAGAACGUACGCUGGCGGCACGCCUAACACAUGCAAGUCGAACGAAGUAGCAAUACUUAGUGGCAGACGGGUGAGUAACAUGUGGGUAUCUGCCCUUUGGCCUGGAAUAACACGAGGAAACUUGUGCUAAUACCGGAUAAGUCUUUACGGAGAAAGCUUUAUGCACCAUUGGAUGAGCCUGCACUUGAUUAGUUUGUUGGUGGGGUAAUGGCCCACCAAGACUAUGAUCAAUAGCUGAUUUGAGAGGAUGAUCAGCCACAUUGGGACUGAGACACGGCCCAAACUCCUACGGGAGGCAGCAGUGGGGAAUCUUGCACAAUGGAGGAAACUCUGAUGCAGCGAUGCCGCGUGAGUGAAGAAGGCCCUUGGGUUGUAAAGCUCUUUCGUCGGGGAAGAAAAUGACUGUACCCGAAUAAGAAGGUCCGGCUAACUUCGUGCCAGCAGCCGCGGUAAUACGAAGGGACCUAGCGUAGUUCGGAAUUACUGGGCUUAAAGAGUUCGUAGGUGGUUGAAAAAGUUGGUGGUGAAAUCCCAGAGCUUAACUCUGGAACUGCCAUCAAAACUUUUCAGCUAGAGUAUGAUAGAGGAAAGCAGAAUUUCUAGUGUAGAGGUGAAAUUCGUAGAUAUUAGAAAGAAUACCAAUUGCGAAGGCAGCUUUCUGGAUCAUUACUGACACUGAGGAACGAAAGCAUGGGUAGCGAAGAGGAUUAGAUACCCUCGUAGUCCAUGCCGUAAACGAUGUGUGUUAGACGUUGGAAAUUUAUUUUCAGUGUCGCAGCGAAAGCGAUAAACACACCGCCUGGGGAGUACGACCGCAAGGUUAAAACUCAAAUGAAUUGACGGGGACCCGCACAAGUAGUGGAGCAUGUGGUUUAAUUCGAAGAUACGCGCAGAACCUUACCAACACUUGACAUGUUCGUCGCGACUCUAAGAGAUUAGAGUUUUCGGUUCGGCCGGACGAAACACAGGUGCUGCAUGGCUGUCGUCAGCUCGUGUCGUGAGAUGUUGGGUUAAGUCCCGCAACGAGCGCAACCCUCACUUUUAGUUGCCAUCAUUAAGUUGGGCACUCUGAAAGAACUGCCAGUGAUAAGCUGGAGGAAGGUGGGGAUGACGUCAAGUCCUCAUGGCCCUUACGUGUUGGGCUACACACGUGCUACAAUGGUAUCUACAACAGGAAGCAAAACGGCAACGUUAAGCAAAUCCCGAAAAGAUACCUCAGUUCGGAUUGCACUCUGCAACUCGAGUGCAUGAAGCUGGAAUUACUAGUAAUCGUGGAUCAGCGUGCCACGGUGAAUGCGUUCCCGGGUCUUGUACACACCGCCCGUCACACCAUGGGAGUUGGUUCUACCUUAAGGCAAGGUUUUAAACCCUUGACCACGGUAUAGUCAGCGACUGGGGUGAAGUCGUAACAAGGUA